rnacentral:rRNA from 1 species
UAAACUCAAAGGAAUUGACGGGGGCCCGCACAAGCGGCGGAGCAUGCGGAUUAAUUCGAUGCAACGCGAAGAACCUUACCAAGGCUUGACAUAUACGAGAACGCUCUAGAAAUAGAGAACUCUUUGGACACUCGUAUACAGGUGGUGCAUGGUUGUCGUCAGCUCGUGUCGUGAGAUGUUGGGUUAAGUCCCGCAACGAGCGCAACCCUCGUUCUAUGUUGCCAGCGGUUCGGCCGGGAACUCAUAGGAGACUGCCGGGGUCAACUCGGAGGAAG